UACGUAGGGAGCAAGCGUUGUUCGGAUUUACUGGGCGUAAAGGGCGCGUAGGCGGCGUGUUAAGUCAGCUGUGAAAUCUCCCAAGCUCAACUUGGAACGGCCAGCUGAUACUGAUGUGCUAGAGUGCAGAAGGGGCAACUGGAAUUCUCGGUGUAGCGGUGAAAUGCGUAGAUAUCGAGAGGAACACCUGCGGCGAAGGCGGGUUGCUGGGCUGACACUGACGCUGAUGCGCGAAAGCCAGGGGAGCAAACAG
rnacentral:rRNA from 1 species